rnacentral:rRNA from 1 species
CGCCUGUUUAUCAAAAACAUGUCCUUAUGGUUAUUAUUUAUUUAAGGUUUAACCUGCCCAAUGAUUAAUUUUAAUGGCCGCAGUAUUUUAACUGUGCUAAGGUAGCAUAAUCAAUUGUCUUUUAAUUGAGGGCUUGAAUGAAUGGUUGGACAAAAUAUCUACUUUCUUUUAAUUAAAUAAUGAAUUUAAUUUUUAGGUGAAAAAGCUUAAAUUUAUUUAAGGGACGAGAAGACCCUAUAGAGCUUUAUAUUUAUAUUUAUUUAUUUAAUUUGUUUAUUUUUGAAUAGAUUUUUUGUGUAUUAUAUUGGGGUGAUAGUAAAAUAUUAUUAACUUUUAUUUUUUUAUUUACAUUAAUUUAUGUUAUUUUGAUCCAUUAUUAAUGAUUAUAAGAUUAAGUUACCUUAGGGAUAACAGCGUAAUUUAUUCGGAGAGUUCAUAUUGAUGAAUAAGUUUGCGACCUCGAUGUUGGAUUAAAAUUAGGUUUAAGGCGUAGAAGUUAUUAUCUAGGUCUGUUCGACCUUUAAAAUUUUACAUGAUCUGAGUUCAAACCGGAG